GACGAACGCUGGCGGCGUGCUUAACACAUGCAAGUCGAACGGUGAACCUGCUUCGGUGGGGGUUCAGUGGCGAACGGGUGAGUAACACGUGGGCAACCUGCCCUCAGCUCUGGGAUAACUCUAAGAAAUUGGGGCUAAUACUGGUUAUGACCGCUGUCCGCAUGGUCUGGGGGCGGUAAGGUUUAUCGGCUGGGGAUGGGCCUGCGGCCAAUCAGCUAGUUGGUUGGGUAGUGGCCUACCAAAGGGCCGACGGGUAGCCGGCCUGAGAGGGGGACCGGCCACACGGGGACUGAGAGACGGACCAGACUGCAACGGGAGGCAGUAGUCGGGAGCAUGGCGGAGUGGGCGCGAGCCUGACACAGCGGCGCCGCGUGGGGGAUGACGUCCUUCGGGUGGUAAACCACUUUCAGCAGGGACGAAGCGAAAGUGACGGUACCUGCAGAAGAAGCACCGGCUAACUACGUG
rnacentral:rRNA from 1 species